AACGAACGCUGGCGGCAGGCCUAACACAUGCAAGUCGAACGCCCCGCAAGGGGAGUGGCAGACGGGUGAGUAACGCGUGGGAAUCUACCCAUCUCUGCGGAAUAGCUCCGGGAAACUGGAAUUAAUACCGCAUACGCCCUACGGGGGAAAGAUUUAUCGGGGAUGGAUGAGCCCGCGUUGGAUUAGCUAGUUGGUGGGGUAAAGGCCUACCAAGGCGACGAUCCAUAGCUGGUCUGAGAGGAUGAUCAGCCACAUUGGGACUGAGACACGGCCAAAACUCCUACGGGAGGCAGCAGUGGGGAAUAUUGGACAAUGGGCGCAAGCCUGAUCCAGCCAUGCCGCGUGAGUGAUGAAGGCCUUAGGGUUGUAAAGCUCUUUCACCGAUGAAGAUAAUGACGGUAGUCGGAGAAGAAGCCCCGGCUAACUUCGUGCCAGCCGCCGCCGUAAUAC
rnacentral:rRNA from 1 species